rnacentral:lncRNA from 1 species
NNNNNNNNNNNNNNNNNNNNNNNNNNNNNNNNNNNNNNNNNNNNNNNNNNNNNNNNNNNNNNNNNNNNNNNNNNNNNNNNNNNNNNNNNNNNNNNNNNNGCGGGCAUGCCGGGCGGCGGCGGCGGCGGGCCCGCGGCGGCGCUGCGCGAGCAGGAGCGGGUGUACGAGUGGUUUGGGCUGGUGCUGGGCUCGGCGCAGCGCCUGGAGUUCAUGUGCGGGCUGCUGGACCUGUGCAACCCGCUGGAGCUGCGCUUCCUCGGCUCGUGCCUGGAGGACCUGGCGCGCAAGGACUACCACUACCUGCGCGACUCCGAGGCUAAGGCCAACGGCCUCUCGGACCCCGGGCCGCUGGCGGACUUCCGAGAGCCCUCCGUGCGCUCGCGCCUCAUCGUCUACCUGGCGCUGCUGGGCUCGGAGAACCGUGAGGCCGCCGGCCGCCUGCACCGCCUCCUGCCCCAGGUGGACUCGGUGCUCAAGAGUCUGCGCGCGGCUCGGGGCGAGGGUUCGCGGGGCGGCGCGGAGGACGAGCCCGGCGAGCGCGGGGAGGACGGCGAAGGCGAGGAGGACGCAGAGAAGGACGGUUCUGGCCCGGAAGGCAGCGGCGCCGAGUCCCGGCCCGGCGGCGGGCUGGGCUUCAGGGCCCAGGAGGAACUGCUGCUGCUCUUCACCAUGGCUUCGCUGCACCCGGCGUUCUCCUUCCACCAGCGGGUCACCCUGAGGGAGCACCUGGAGAGGCUCCGCGCCGCGCUCCGCGGGGGGCCCGAGGACGCGGAGGCGGAGCCGUGCAACUUUGCCGGCCCCCGGGCCCAGGGUGACGCCGCCCCCGGUGACUUCCCGCAGAGCGAGGAGACCAGCGUGCUAGAGCAAGCCCUGACACCUCGCGACGGCCUUCCUGGGGCGCCGCACAGAGCCCAGCGAGAAGCUGUGCACAUUGAGAAGAUCAUGUUGAAAGGAGUCCAGAGAAAAAGGGCUGACAAAUAUUGGGAGUACACCUUCAAAGUAAAUUGGUCUGAUCUUUCAGUCACAACAGUAACAAAAACCCACCAAGAACUACAGGAAUUUCUACUGAAGCUCCCAAAGGAAGUGUCUUCGGAGACUUUUGAUAAGACCAUCCUAAGAGCCCUGAAUCAGGGUUCACUGAAGAGGGAAGAACGGCGACAUCCUGACCUAGAGCCCAUCCUAAGGCAGCUAUUUUCAACUUCAUCCCAAGCUUUUCUACAGAGUCAGAAAGUGCACAGCUUCUUUCAGUCCAUAUCACCAGACCCUCUGCACAGCCUCAAUAACUUCCAGUCCUCUCUGAAGACUUCAAAAAUAUUAGAACACUUAAAGGAAGACAGCUCAGAAGCUUCAAGUCAAGAAGAAGAUGUGUUACAACACACCGUAAUCCACAAGAAACACACCGGGAAGAGUCCCCUUGUGAACACCAUCGGUACAAGUUGUUCUCCGUUGGAUGGGCUCACUGUGCAGUAUUCUGAGCAGAAUGGAGUUGUGGAUUGGAGGAAGCAGAGCUGCCCCCCUCUUCAGCACCCGGAGCACUGUGUGGCCUUAGCUGACCAGCAUUCAACCGAAAAACGAAGCUUAUCUUCAAUAAAUAAGAAGAAAGGAAAGCCACAAAUAGAAAAGGAGAAAAUUAAGAAAACUGACAACAGAUUGAAUAGUAGAAUAAAUGGGAUCAGAUUGUCUGCUUCUCAGCAUGCCCACGGUGGUUCCGUGAAAGAUGUGAACUUGGAUGUUGGAUCUGGACGUGACACGUGUGGAGAGACCUCUUCAGAGAGCUACAGCUCUCCCUCGAGUCCACGGCAUGAUGGGAGAGAGAGCUUUGAAAGCGAAGAAGAGAAAGACCGAGACACAGACAGCAAUUCUGAGGAUUCUGGGAAUCCGUCAACAACCAGGUUUACGGGCUACGGUUCUGUCAACCAGACCGUCACUGUCAAGCCACCUGUUCAGAUUGCUUCAUUAGGAAGCGACAACGGAGGCCUUUUAGAAGAUGCCCUAAAUGCACCCAAGUAUCAGCAUAUUUCUUUUAUGCCAACUUUACACUGUGUCAUGCACAACGGUGCCCAGAAGUCUGACGUCGGUGUCCCUCCACCCAAGUCCGCUGACGGCAAGACCAUAGGGAUGCUUGUUCCCAGUCCUGUUGCUAUUUCUGCAAUAAGGGAGUCUGCAAACUCUACCCCUGUUGGAGUACUGGGGCCAGCAGCUUCUGCCGGAGAACCCGAGAAACACCUGGAGUUACUGGCUUCCCCUUUGCCUCUUCCGUCAGCGUUCCUCGCACACGGCAGCGCCCCUGCUCUGCACCUGACAAUUCAGAGGCUAAAGUUGCCGCCACCGCAGGGGUCCUCGGAGAGCUGCCCGGUCAACAUCCCACAGCAGCCGCCCGCAAGUCUGAGCAUCGGAUCACCAAACACUGCCUUUCUCCCUGUCCACAGCCCGGGGAGCUUUCCGGGGUCUCCCAUUGCUACCACGGACCCCAUCGCCAAGUCUGCGUCCCCGGUGGUAGGACUCAAUCAAAUGGUGCCUCAACUCGAGGGAAGCACCGGGACAGUCCCUCAGCCCAGCAAUGUGAAGGUUGUUGUCCCCGCAGCCGGCCUCUCGGCUGCACAGCCACCAGCAUCCUACACCCUGCCGGGGCCCCCCCUUGGCACCGGCGCGCUGCCCAGCCAGAGCUCCGGCGCGCUCAGCCCAGCNNNNNNNNNNNNNNNNNNNNNNNNNNNNNNNNNNNNNNNNNNNNNNNNNNNNNNNNCCCCCGCGGUCCCCACCCACACCCCGGGCCCCGCGCCCAGCCCGAGCCCCGCGCUCACCCACAGCACCGCGCAGAGCGACAGCACGUCCUACAUCAGCGCCGUGGGGAACACGAACGCUAACGGGACAGUCCUGCCGCCGCAGCAGAUGGGCUCGGGGCCCUGCGGCUCUUGCGGGCGACGGUGCGGCUGUGGGACCAACGGCAGCCUUCAGCUGAACAGCUACUACUAUCCUAACCCGAUGCCCGGGCCCAUGUACCGGGUCCCGUCCUUCUUCACUCUGCCGUCCCUCUGCAACGGCAGCUACCUCAACCAAGCACAUCAGAGCAAUGGAAACCAACUUCCUUUCUUUCUGCCUCAGACUCCGUAUGCAAACGGACUGGUGCACGACCCCGUCCUGGGGAGCCAAGCCAGCUACGGCAUGCAGCAGAUGGCGGGCUUCGGGAGGUUCUACCCCGUGUACCCAGCGCCCGGCGUGGUUGCCAGUGCGAGCGGUUCGGGGCCCAAGAAGAACGGGAACGUCUCCUGUUACAACUGCGGUGUGAGUGGACACUACGCACAGGAGUGCAAGCAGUCGUCCAUGGAGGCCAGCCCACAAGGCACUUACAGACUGAGAUACGCACCUCCCCUCCCCCCUUCUAAUGAUACGUUGGAUUCUGCAGACUGAACCACGUAAAGCUUGACUGCUUAAUACCCUGACGUGUUGGGGAGUCAUGGUGGGGUGUGGAGGGGAGGAAAGGAAAGGUAUUUUGUGUGUGUUUCUUUGUCUGUACAUUUCCUAGAUUUCUAUGCACUUGGGAUUUUUCAUUUCUGUUGUACUGAUGUCCAAAUCAAAAAAAAUGCAUUGCUUUUGAGCCUCUGGUCUCCUGGUUCAACAACAGGCCUAUCUGUAUGAAACAUGUAAUUUAAACCUCCACACUAUCAAAAGGAACAUGUUUGCUGUGCUUUUUUUUUACACUGAAUACUUGCUGUGUGCAAUGUUUACUGAAUCUUUAAAACUGUGUAUUUGACCUUUUUUUUUUUUUUACAACACUGGUGACAGUCAUAUGGUUUUCAAAAAGAGAAACUGCUCCUUCCCAGCUUUUCUCACUUUCACCCCAAAGGACACACGUCUCCCCGUCACCCCCUCUCCUGUGGCCUGUAAAUCCAGGGUGAAGUGCUUCACCUUCAACUGAGGAGAAAUCAAGUUCCCCAAGUUGUGUGUAUAUAAUAAACAGCAUCCCGUGAAUACA